CCUUGGAGUUCUUAAUGCAAAUAACUUCCCAGCUCUUCAGAGACAUAUGCAGAUUAGGCCCCACAGUGACCCCAUGCAAGAAACCAUAUCCAUAUCCAUAAAGCGAGGUCCCAUGUCACGACGGGAAUGUAAAUCUGAGGGGGAAUGGCCGGAAGUAAGUGGAAACUUCUUGUGUUUGUAUGAUGAUGAUACUUGGUGGUCGGAAAGGAAAUUAUUUACUUGGGAAAUCUCCGCAGUGGCAUUAUGAGAUCACCAGUAUAUUGUUAAUGGUUUCUGUGCUCGUGCUUUUUAGUUUAGCAUUUGCUCUGUACCUAAAAUUUAUAGGACAUGAUGUGGUGGCAGGUUUGCCUGGUGAGCCUAGUGAGGUGGGCUAGCAGGUGAGGCCAGAGCGAAUGAAGCUGUGGCCUCAGAGGGGAGGUUUGCCCCUGGGCCUUUUAGGGAGAAGGGCUGCAUGCUGGGCUUCGGGACCAGACAACUCAGAGAUCCAGCCCAAACGUUCCUGACCACAUCCUCCUACUGAGUCCGUCCUUGUUCAGGUUUCUAUGGUGGCACCUGUUUUGUUUUGUUUUUUUUCGAGACAGAGUCUUGCUCUGUCGCCCAGGCUGUAGUGCAGUGGUGAGAUAUCGGCUCACUGCAACCUCUGCUUCCAGGGUUCAAGCAAUUCUUCUGCCUCAGCCUCCCGAGUAGCUGGGACUACAGGCACCGCCACCAUGCCCAGAUAUUUUUUUGAAUUUUUAGUAGAGACAGGGUUUCAUCAUGUUAGCCAGGAUGGUCUCGAUCUCCUGACCUCAUGAUCUGCCUGCCUUGGCCUCCCAA
rnacentral:lncRNA from 1 species